rnacentral:rRNA from 1 species
AUACGUAGGGGGCGAGCGUUGUCCGGAAUGAUUGGGCGUAAAGGGCGCGUAGGCGGCCCGGUAAGUCUGGAGUGAAAGUCCUGUUUUUAAGAUGGGAAUUGCUUUGGAUACUGUCGGGCUUGAGUGCAGGAGAGGUAAGUGGAAUUCCCAGUGUAGCGGUGAGAUGCGUAGAGAUUGGGAGGAACACCAGUGGCGAAGGCGACUUACUGGACUGUAACUGACGCUGAGGCGCGAAAGUGUGGGGAGCAAACAGGAUUGGAUACCCUGGUAGUCCACACUGUAAACGAUGAAUGCUAGGUGUAGGGGGUAUCGACCCCUUCUGUGCCGCAGUCAACACAAUAAGCAUUCCGCCUGGGGAGUACGGCCGCAAGGUUGAAACUCAAAUGAAUUGACGGGG